rnacentral:rRNA from 1 species
ACGAAGUUGAAGAGCUUGCUCUUUAACCUAGUGAGUGGCGGACGGGUGAGUAACACGUGGGUAACCUGCCCAUUAGAGGGGGAUAACACUUGGAAACAGGUGCUAAUACCGCAUAAUUGUUUUAGCCGCAUGGCUGAGAUAUGAAAGACGCUUUCGGGUGUCACUAAUGGAUGGACCCGCGCUGCAUUAGUUAGUUGGUGAGGUAAUGGCUCACCAAGACCGUGAUGCAUAGCCGACCUGAGAGGGUGAUCGGCCACACUGGGACUGAGACACGGCCCAGACUCCUACGGGAGGCAGCAGUAGGGAAUCUUCGGCAAUGGACGAAAGUCUGACCGAGCAACGCCGCGUGAGUGAAGAAGGUUUUCGGAUCGUAAAACUCUGUUGUUAGAGAAGAACAAGUGGGAGAGUAACUGUUCCCACCUUGACGGUAUCUAACCAGAAAGCCACGGCUAACUACGUGCCAGCAGCCGCGGUAAUA